rnacentral:rRNA from 1 species
AUAGAACGCUGGCGGCAUGCCUUACACAUGCAAGUCGAACGGUAACAGGUCUUCGGAUGCUGACGAGUGGCGAACGGGUGAGUAAUACAUCGGAACGUGCCUAGUAGUGGGGGAUAACUACUCGAAAGAGUGGCUAAUACCGCAUGAGAUCUACGGAUGAAAGCAGGGGAUCGCAAGACCUUGUGCUACUAGAGCGGCCGAUGGCAGAUUAGGUAGUUGGUGGGAUAAAAGCUUACCAAGCCGACGAUCUGUAGCUGGUCUGAGAGGACGAUCAGCCACACUGGGACUGAGACACGGCCCAGACUCCUACGGGAGGCAGCAGUGGGGAAUUUUGGACAAUGGGCGAAAGCCUGAUCCAGCAAUGCCGCGUGCAGGAUGAAGGCCUUCGGGUUGUAAACUGCUUUUGUACGGAACGAAAAGCCCUGGGUUUAUACCCUGGGGUCAUGACGGUACCGUAAGAAUAAGCACCGGCUAACUACGUGCCAGCCGCCGCGGUAAAAC